rnacentral:rRNA from 1 species
CCGCACGCGUGCUACACUGACGCAUACAGCGAGUACAUCCCAGCUCCGUGAGGCAGCUGGUAAUCAGCAAUAUGCGUCGUGAUGGGGAUAGAUCUUUGGAAUUAUAGAUCUUGAACGAGGAAUUCCUAGUAAGCGCAAGUCAUUACCUUGCGCUGAUUAAGU